rnacentral:rRNA from 1 species
UUGACCUCAAAUCAGGUAGGACUACCCGCUGAACUUAAGCAUAUCAAUAAGCGGAGGAAAAGAAACUAACAAGGAUUCCCUUAGUAACUGCGAGUGAAGUGGGAAAAGCUCAAAUUUAGAAUCUGGCGGUCGCUUGGCUGUCCGAGUUGUAAUCUAGAGAAGUGUUGCCCGUGCUGGACCAUGUACAAGUCUCCUGGAAUGGAGCAUCACAGAGGGUGAGAAUCCUGUCUUUGACAUGGACUGCCAGUGCUUUUGUGGUACGCUCUCAAAGAGUCGAGUUGUUUGGGAAUGCAGCUCAAAACGGGUGGUAAAUGCCAUCUAAAGCUAAAUAUUGGCGAGAGACCGAUAGCGAACAAGUACCGUGAGGGAAAGAUGAAAAGAACUUUGGAAAGAGAGUUAAACAGUACGUGAAAUUGCUGAAAGGGAAACGCUUGAAGUCAGUCACGUUGACUSGGAAUCAGCUCUGCUUUUGCUGGGUGUACUUUCUUGUCAA